rnacentral:rRNA from 1 species
UACGGAGGGUGCGAGCGUUGUCCGGAAUCACUGGGCGUAAAGGGCGCGUAGGCGGCCUGAUAAGUAGGGGGUGAAAUCCUGCGGCUUAACCGCAGGGCUGCCUUCUAAACUGUCAGGCUAGAGCACAGUAGAGGCAGGUGGAAUUCCCGGUGUAGCGGUGAAAUGCGUAGAGAUCCGGAGGAACACCAGAGGCGAAGGCGGCCUGCUGGGCUGCACCUGACGCUGAGCCGCGAAAGCCAGGGGAGCGAACGGG